GUGCCAGCAGCCGCGGUAAUACCGGCAGCCCGAGUGAUGGCCGAUCUUAUUGGGCCUAAAGCGUCCGUAGCUGGGUCUGAAAGUCCAUCGGGAAAUCCAUCAGCCCAACUGAUGGGCGUCCGGCGGAAACUGCACGGCUUGGGACCGGAAGGCUCGAGAGGUACGUCCGGGGUAGGAGUGAAAUCCCGUAGUCCCGAACGGACCACCGAUGGCGAAAGCACUUCGAGAAAACGGAUCCGACAGUGAGGGACGAAAGCCAGGGUCUCCAACCGGAUUAGAAACCCGGGUAGUCC
rnacentral:rRNA from 1 species